rnacentral:lncRNA from 1 species
GGGGAGGGUGUAUCCUUGCACUAACAGGACUUAUUCCUAAUAUUUAGUCAGAAACUCCUUUCUUGCAAUAGAAAUACAAGAAAGGGAAUUUUGGCUAAACAUUAGGAAGAACUUUCUGAUGGUAACUUCUGUUCAGCGGUAGAACAGACUCCCUCAGAAUGUGGUGGAUUCUCCUUCACCUCUUGGACUACUGCAAUGUGCUCUCCGUGGGGCUACCUUUGAAGGUGACCUGGAAACUACAACUAAUCCAGAAUGCGGCAGCUAGACUGGUGACUGGGAGCAGCCACCAAGACCACAAAGUACCGGUCUUGAAAGACAUAUAUUGGCUCCCAGUACAUUUCCAAGCACAAUUCAAAGUGUUGAUGCUGACCUUUAAAGCCCUAAACAGCCUCAGACCAGUAUACCUGAAGGAGCGUCUCCACCCCCAUCGUUCUGCCCGGACGCUGAGGUCCAUCGCCAGGGGCCUUCUGGUGGUUCCCUCACUGCGAGAAGCAAAGCUACAGGGAACCAGGCAGAGGGCCUUCUUCUUUUUUUAAAAUAAUUUUUAUUAACCGGCCAAUCAAAUCAAAUCACAUCACAUAAAUUCCGAAUUACAAAGCCGAAUUUUAAAUUUUGUUGAGGGGACCCAUAUUUCAAGAUCCGAAGGGGGAUUCUGAUCAUCUUCUUGCUACUGCGUUAAUGUCCAAAUCAGUCCAAACAAAGUUCAUAAUUCUAUCCAGUCUUAUCUUGCUGUUUCCACAUCACAUUUUGUUCAUAUAUUUUCUCUUUUUUCUUUAUGAUCUCUUCUGAUAGUCUCCUUAAGCCGAUAAACACCAAUAAUAAUCCUGUGCGAAUUUUCCCGUUCUUCCAAUCCUCAAAUCGAGAUGGUUUCCAUAUAUCAUCGCCUUCAUAGAUAACAUCGCUCUUUCCAUCAUUAAUUACAGAACUGUUGUUCUUAAGUCCCUCUGAGGAGUUUCACCCACAAUAUAAAAACAGCUCUAUUUCUCUAUUUCUUCUCCCAAACUUAAGUCCUCCAACAGAACUUCCCAAUAUGGCGACGGUAUUUUUAACUGUGUCAUUCCAAAGCCCUUAUACAUUCCACGCUCUUCUUAAAACAUGCUUUGGUUCGAAAGUUUAUCUCCACACAGCCUUAAAUCCACAGCUUAAGUCCUUAAAACGACAUUUCUGACUUGUGGGGGGGGGGAUACUUGUUUAAUCACAUAAAGGAAAGAAAGGAAAGUUUUUCCCCCCUCCCCCAUCAGUCCCUUUGCCAUACCGAGUCUUGGCGUAUCUUCUCAUGAUUUAUACUUGUUCCUCCGACUCGUCUUGUUUUAUCAGAGAUCUCUUCUGUUAGCAGUCUUUACCCCGCUCCUUCCUUGAAAUAUGUGCAUUCGCUUCAUCCAAAUUGUUUCUUUUGAAGUUCUUGCAGCUAGUGGCGCGGAUCAGAGACGGCGUCCAGGAGCGCCGAAAUCCCACAGGAGGGCAUUGUGCCUAGUGCCCCCAUCCCCACAAAUUCGGGGGUGGUAUAGGGCACAGCAGGCAAGGGCAGUCCCCCCCCCCACAAUCCUGGGGGGGGUAGGGAGGCUAUUUACUCCCAUCACAGCCUCCAAAUUACCUCAUGUGGGUCGGAGAGAUGUUAUUGUCAGCCAUCUUCUGAUGCGCCCCUAGUGGCCCCUCUGGCAGAGGGCCUUCUUGGUAGUGGCUCCUGCCCUGUGGAAUGCCCUCCCAUCAGAUGUCAAAGAGAUAAACAACUACCUGACAUUUAGAAGACAUCUGAAGGCAGCCCUGUUCAGGGAAGUUUUAAUGCGUGACAAUUCAAUGUAUUUUUAAUCUUCAUUGGAAGCCGCCCAGAGUGGCUGGGGAGACCCAGCCAGAUGGGCGGGGUACAAAUAAAUUAUUAUUAUUAUUAUUAUUAAAGCCAUCCAAGUGGGUGGCCAUCACUGCCUCGAGGUGAGCAGGGGAGUUCCAUAGUUAGACUAGGCACUGCGUUAAUAAAUAUUUUCUUCUCCCUGUCCUGAAAUCUUCCAACGUUCAUCUUCGUUGGAUGUCUAUGCAUGAGAGAGAGGCAGGGAAAAAAACUUUUUUCCAUCCACUUGCUCCAUAACCCUCUUUUAAAGCCGCACAAGGUUCUGGUCACCACUAAAUACUGAGAAAAGCCAGGGAGCUUCUGCCAGUCUGAGUCUGUUCUACAGAUAAAUCCUAAAUGUUUUUGGUUUGUGUGUGCAUGCCAAAUUAUGGAUCUCCUGCCGCUUCCAGGAGCAGCUGGGAAGAGAGAAGAGGAGUUCAGGGAUAUAUAUAUAUAAAAUAAUUUUAUAAAUUGUGUGUCUUUGCUUCUC